CAUCUAGACCACGCCCCCUUCGCUCGGGCACGCCCCGCGCGCCGCUGCCGCUAAGAUGGCGGCCGAGAAUCUGUAUUUUUGAUAUUUGAUAAGAUUCUAGCACUUUGAAGUAGAUCGUUUGAAAUGCAAGGACUUAAAGCCAAAAUUAUCCAGGUGGCAAAGCUGGCAGCUGUGUCUGCUGCUGUGCCGUUUGCGUGUAUCACUGUACAUGCUGCAGCAGAAAGGGAAUCCAAAGGUCACCUGGUGAAGCCCAGUCAGCUUCCAAUUUACUGUCCACCUCCUCUGAAAUCGAGAUACAUUGAAGAGCAGCCUGGUCACUUGCAAAAGCAGUUUUCGUCAGUAAGACAAACAACCGGCCGCUACAUUGGAUGGUGCAAGGAUGCUUUUCUCUUUGUUAAAAAUGGAAUACUGGAUUCAAUUCAAUUUGGAAAAGACGCUUACGUUUACCUGAAGAAUCCACCACCAGAAUUUCUUCCCAAAGUUGGUGUAAUUACAAUAUCGGGUUUUGCUGGUGUAGUGCUGGCAAGAAAAGGUUCUAGAUUUAAGAAAAUUGCUUAUCCAUUGGGACUUGCUACUUUAGGAAUUUCUGUUUGUUACCCGGCUCAGUCAGUGGUGAUUGCUAAGGUAACAGGAAAAAAGUUAAUUUCUGCAAGCCAUCAAAGCUACGAAGCUGUGCGAUCGCUGUGGGCUAAAAAGGAAGAUGUCAGCAAGCUGCAGCAAGACUCAAAAUCACUUGUAAAAGAAGAUAAGAAAAAGAAGGAAAUAUCUGGUACAACACCUGUGUCUGCUAUUGAAUCAAGAUCAUUUAACAGAACAGAACCUUCUCCAGUAGAAUCUUGGAGUAGCACAGAUGCAGUGACUUCAUCAGGAACACUGAAGGCACCAAAAUUUAGGCCUGAUCCAAAACUUAUGGACCAUGGCCAGUCCAGCCCGGAAGAUGUGGAUAUGUACAGUACCAGAAGCUGAGACAAGUCUGCUUGCAAGUCUUCACGAAGUAUAAUACAGUUCAGAUAAGGGGGAGGGAAGAAGGGAAGGAAUAAUCCUUACAAUACAUACUCUGUGAGGUGUCAUAUAAUCAGGUGAAUGGAAAAACUUCUUGUCCAGUGUGCUUCUUGUGUAUUGAAAUGUCACUUCAGUUGGGGAAAAAACACACAACUGAUCUCUAAAACAUAUUUUAUAGACUAUGCAUUAGUUUUCAUCUAAUAUUUUGAAGAACUGUAUGCAAAUUGCUGAACCCAUGAAACUGGUACUGCUUGAAUCUAUAUAAAGUGCAUUAGCAAUGUUUAGGAAGCUGGAAACCUCCUGUAGUUUCGAGGUAUAAGGAUUGGAAUAGAUGUGGUUGUCUUCCUCGAGCAAUGUGCAACUCCUUGUCAGUGCACAGUGAUGAUCAACCUGCUGCCUAGAGCUGAACUCAUCUGUAUCUACUGUCACACUUCCUGAAUAUACAAACUGCAAAGGGUGCUGUGCUGGUAGUUUGUCCUUCGACCUGUUGAAUUCUGUUACCUUUAAAUUGAUGAAAAUAUGUGCUUUGUUAAGUUGAGGGGGGGAAGCAAGAACAAACUGUACAAACUGAUGGCCCGGUUGGGAGACUUAAACCUGGAAAGAAAUGCUGCUUCCUGUGAAUGUAUUCUCAGCGUUGGGAUAUGAAGGGUUACUUGCUCCUGUUCUCCGUAAGAAGAGAUUUCACGAUGCAGUUCUUUCUUCUUCAGCUGCUAAUGUAAAGGGAAAUGACUGGUAAAGUCCAGGCAGCCUAUAUUGCUGUGUCACUGUAGGACUAGUAGAAGUUUUAAGGAGGUACUGCAUUAUGGCAUGUGCACAAGGCACAAGUGAUGAAUGAGCAAAAGAAUAAGCAAGGCUUUUAUGAUGGUUCAGAAAGAAAUAAGUAUUCAUAUUUUGGAAUCCAGAUUUCAGACAAAGUAUUGGACUUUGUUACAUGGGAUCCAACGGAAGGUGAAGUUGGUGAAUGUGAAGUUGAAGGAAGAGUAAUUCUGUUAGUUAGACUUGCUUGGGACAGCUGACUUAAUUUAAUGUGUUUUGUUCCUUCACUCAUCUCUUAAGGCCUAGAGAACUGUCAGAAUUCAGGCAGCAGUCAGAGGAUAUCAAAGCCGUCUUUACAAAGCUCCUGGACAAGACACAUCUAGUAUUUCAUCACACAGAGAGGAGUAGAAAAAUAGGGUGACUGGGCUUCAUAUACCAUUUCCAGGGAAACAGAUGAAGAUAUGAGGAAGUGAAAAUGGUGAAGAAAUGAUCACUUUAAAGUGCAAGACUGGAUGGCAAAAAUUGUGUUACCUAUCUCCAUAGCUAACCCUUUGAUAAGAUUCUGGAUAAAAAACAUAAAGGAAAAUACAUCUGCCUUACUCCUAGAUUCUAUUUAAAUGCUUAUGUCCUUUGAGCGAUGCACUACCGCAAAUCAACAGGAGAGGUAAGAUGAUGCAGGUUUGCAUGGAAUUCGGAGGGGUUCGCUGUGAUGACACUGCACGGGUUGACUAUGCACAGGAAUUAGUCUUCUGGGAGCAGGGAGAGAAGCUACCUUGGAUAUCUGUUAGGGAACAGCCAUGUCUGCACUUUCCAGGCAAGAGAAGCCCUUAAAGACUGCCCUCUUCCUGCUGUGCCAACAGCUCGUCUGCCUUUCCAUAGUCCAAGGGCAUUAGCACUCAAAUCUCAUGGUACAGACAGAAGUAUCUGGUCUAUGUUGGACUUGUUGGUUAGGCAGUCAAGAAUUCAGUGUUUCUUGCAAGCAUUUUAUAUUAUGUCCCCAGGUUUUAAAAGGUUCAUGCUGUAAAUAGACAUGAUACAGACCAGUGACAGUUUUGUGUAUCUUAGUGUCAUAUCCAUAGGGCAAAAUCGUAAUCGAACUGUACCUCAGAGUUAAAUCAUCACUCAGAAGUUUUGGAUACAUUUUCUGGAACAGAACUUGAAAUUGUUGCUCCUGCUCACUUUGAUGGAUGAGCAGUCUGAGGAAUUCAGUUCUAGAGCUCAUAAAAUGGUAUUUCUGCGCUGUGUCAUUUCUUCUCUGUGGGUGAGAAGAGUGAGAGACAGCACAGGUUUAUUCCAGUACUGGGUUCGUCUGCUACCGUUGUGUUUUAGUUUAGCUUUUUGGUUAGUUGAGAUUUCUGUCUUAUUACUCUCUACGGGAGAGGGCAAUUGUUUAUGCUUUGUUUUCUGCCAACAGUUUCUGUUCUAUUUCCCAACACAGUUGAAAAGUUGGGGCUGAAACUAGAGGCUUGAGUUUCUGCACUGAAACAGAUGGAGCUAAAGACAACUUUCCCUGCCUGCAACCAAAGAAAAUGGGACAAAACAAGUGUGAAGAGUUUUGUAUCCUGUCUAGUUGUGUUCUGUGUUAUUAGAAAGCCUAGAAUUGAUCACUCAGUUGGUAAUUCUCUGUGCUAGCAUAUAGUUUUAUUAGUAGGUGGAAGGAAUCUUUUAGUAAGACCUGGAAUUUGAUCUAUUAUAGGUCUUUGUUAAUGUAAACUUCUAUUAAAGUCAGUCAUCGUCUCAUCCACCUUUGUGAGACGUGAUGAGAGAAACCUCUAGAGGUGCCAAAAAAUAUGCAAGUUAUUAUAGAGAAGUUUGGGAUGUAUUUGUUGAAAUGAAAGCAGCCCAAAUCAGAGGACUCUUAUGCAAAUAUUGAAGUGGUGACUGUGAGUCUUGAUUACUUGUCUACCAUUCUGUGAAGUGUUGCUCUCUUGAAUCUAAACAGGUGCCUGCCCUCUUCAGUUCAGACACCUGAACCUCUGUUUUAUGUUGUGCUCUGUAGGUGGCUUCUUCCAGACUACAAGGAACUGUAGCCACAUCUCAGUAUUAAUGACUUACUUCAAAGGUGCUAUGCAAUGGCUUUAAAAAAGCAAAUUCAAAUCUACAUUAUGCUGUGGUUGGGAGUCCUUAUUUUUAAUACACGUGCCUGACUUGAUCUCUUCCAGAUUUCAGAUCCAGUAUGCAAGCCUGUUAACCCAUGAAAAACUAACAUAGGUACACAGAAAAAGUUGUAUUGCAAGACAUGGUUUGAUUAAUUUAUAGUGGAACACUUUGAAAUGCCUCUCAAAUGUACCAUUAAUAGUCACUUAAUCUCAACAUUUCUUUCAUAAUGCAAUAAUACAGUAACAUAAUGAAAGUAAGAAUGUGUACUGAAAUUUUUAUAUGAUGAAGCUAUGUAUUUUUGAAAAAUCCAAUGUCUUGAAGAACUGGGUCACAUGAUCUUUUAUAAUAUGGGAAUAUUUUUAAUUUAGCGCAUGUUUUUAUUUAUAAUUGAUUGUAUUCAAUAUAUAGAGAUUUGGACCUUGUUAAUAUUUUUUAUUUACAUAAAACCAAUUGUGAUAGUUUAUUCUGUCUUGUCAUUGUGAAGUGCCUGAAAAUAAAGGGUGAUAAGAUACUUUUUAAAAAUAAGCUUAACUUUUGUAUGUUGUC